UCCAGAGUCCGUGUUGAAAAAGAGAAAGAGGGAAGAGGAGUGGGCCUUGGCCAAGGAACAGGAGCGUGUAGCUGCCAACAAGAAGAAGGCUGAGAACCGGAAGCUCAUUUUCAACAGAGCAAAGCAGUAUUCUGAGGAGUAUGAGCAGCAGGUAGAUAUUGUCACUUUUCAUGAUGUUCAUUUUAUUUGUCUGUUGCGUUUCUGCAUAUUGGUCUGAUUAUUUGUUGUUGAAAUUGGUUUGUUUCCCAUGUUUAGGAGAAAGAGUUGAUCCAGUUGAAGCGUGAGGCUAAGUUGAAAGGUGGAUUUUAUGUUGACCCAGAGGCUAAGCUCUUGUUCAUUAUUCGUAUCCGUGGGUAUGUUCUCAACGUUCAGCUUAAUGGGAAAUGAAGUCCAAUGAUAUGUGCUCUGUAUCUUAUACUUUAAUUUCUUAAAUUUUCAGUAUCAACGCCAUUGACCCAAAGACCAAGAAGAUCUUGCAACUCUUGAGGCUGAGACAGGUAGCACCCCUAACCCAUUAACCUAGUGAUACAAAUGUUGACCUUUCUAUUAGGAUUCCUUUAGCUUCUCUCUUUUGGUAUUUUUAACGGUUGUCUGAUGGUUUCACUGCAUCAAGUGAGAGGCUUUUCAAUCUAUCUGUUUGUUCUUUCAUUAGAUAGCUGAUGAUAUCUUUAAACACAGUUGAGUCUUGAUCAUAGAGAGUUUAUAGCCCUCCUAUAGUUCUGUAUUUAUCCGCUUGCCUUCAUCCGUUGUUAAAGUUAUGAACUGUGUUAAUAGGUGCCCACAUAUUUUCAGUUGUAUGUUAAAAGUUCAAUUUUGUUUUAUCUUCUAAAACAGAUCUUCAAUGGAGUCUUCCUGAAAGUUAACAAAGCCACCCUCAAUAUGCUUCACAGGGUUGAACCAUAUGUUACUUACGGGUGUGUAAACAUCUUUCACAUUCUCUUUUCCUUUGUCUCAGCUGUAAAAGUCUGGAAAUGUAUGAUUAAUACGAGUUGAAUGAUUUCAGGUACCCCAACUUGAAGAGUGUCAAGGAAUUGAUAUACAAGAGAGGGUAUGGUAAGCUGAACAAGCAGAGGAUUGCCUUAACUGACAACGCCAUUGUUGAGGAGGUUUGUACCUCGCUGCUAAUGUGUUUCUAAUUGGUUUCAUUAAUUGUUACAUCUUUCUAACAUCUGCUAUUGUCACAGGCUCUUGGCAAAUAUGGCAUCAUCUGCACGGAAGAUCUUAUUCACGAGAUCUUGACAGUUGGUCCUCAUUUCAAGGAGGCCAAUAACUUUCUAUGGCCCUUUAAGCUUAAGGCACCACUGGGCGGUCUUAAGAAGAAGAGGAACCACUACGUUGAAGGUGGAGAUGCUGGAAACCGUGAGAACUACAUCAACGAGCUUAUUAGGAGAAUGAAUUAGGUCUAUGCAGUAAUUUAUUAUUCCAGUCAAUCGAGUUCUUUCUGUCAACUAGGGGGGAUCUGAUACUUAAUCCUCUGUUUAAGUUGAACACAGUUUUCGCUUUAAGGUUCAUGACUUGUUUUGGUGUCGGAAUAUUUGAUUCACAUUUUGAAGACUUGAAUGCUAGAAAGUUUUGUUGCCUUAUAUAAAUGCUUUGCUUUCGAUGCUGCCUGCUUGUUUACUUCUGCCAAGGUUCUAAGUUCGGCUAGAGUUUCAUAUGUUUUGUUGCCCUCCUUUUUCUUUUCCUUUCGUGAUUAAGUAAAACAAUGAAGAGGAAUUAGAUUGUCCUCAAAACAAAGUAGGAAAGGAAUGGAGUAUUCUUGAGUAGUAAGAGCAUCUCCAUAAGUCGGUGGAGGGCGGGCGAUAGCAAUUGGAGAGCACUCUAAACAGUAAUUGUCAAUGUGCAAGUUCACUUGUUUGGAAGAAUGAAGGACAAUAACGAUUACUAUUUACAAACGUAUUUUUUUAAUUGUUUUUUUAUUGUUUUCUUCAUCUUAUAAACACAUCUCAUUAUAGCUGUAGAUUUUUGGUAGUUUUAAAAGUUUAAUUUGCAAGUGUGUUGAACUUUAUAAGAUUUUUGAAGUGUAAACAUUGUAAGUUUCUUUAUUUGUUUAGAGUUGGAUUAAUCCUAGAUGUUGAGUUGAACAAUUUUUUGAAAUCAAAUGCUCAUAAAGAGCUACAUGGGGAGUGGGAGAGCUGACGAAUCAUCACGGAUUGGAGUAACUAUGGGCUUCAGGCGGGGGAAAAACCAACCAAUCCCACCCUCCCCCUCCUCCUCCACCCCAGGGGGGCUUUAGUGGCAAACCCUUACAAUUUUAAAAUGACAGUUGCCUUCAACCCAACUAUCUCCCAUUUUGUAGGCCCCCCUUUCCAUACUGGGCUUUAGGCACAAGCCUUAGACCAUCUCCAAUCAAAAGCUCCAGAGGGUAAAAAAUAGUCUAAAAAUCGUCUUCAACUGAGGGCUAAGCCAUAGGGCUCGUGGGCCCCAUUGGACAAAAAGGGUCGGGCUCCCAUUCAAACCCCAACAGCUAGCUUGCUAGUUGGCGUCACGUUGACAUCAGUUAUCAUUGGUUUCUGAAUAUUUUUUUUUUUUGGCCAAAAUAUUUUUUAAAAAUUCUCAUUUUUCCCUAUAAAUGCCUAAGUCGACCAUUCCUCACAAAUUUUUCAUCAUUCCUACACCAUUUCAAUUCUCAUAUUUUCUUAGCUCUUCCAAUAAUAUUUCCUUCAAUUUUUUCAAUAAUUUUCAAAUGGCCUCAUAUGCAAUGAAAGGUAAGGUUUGGACCCGAAAAGAAGAUGAAAUUCUUGGCAGGACUUAUAGAUGGGUGUCAGAAGAUAGUAUGAGGGGAAGUUCUCAAACAAGUGAAGGUGUUUGGACUCGUGUGUCCAAAAUAUACAUAGAGUUCUACAAAGGCACCAUUUCAUCAAAUACCCGAAACCACGAGAGUUGUUCUUCAAGAUGGAAGAAACAUCUUCAGCCAAGUUUGAACAUAUGGCAACAAGCACUGUUAGCAGCCGCAAGUAGACAUGAAAGCGGCGCUAAUUACUACGACGAAGUAAGUGUUUUGACAAUUUAUUUUAAAUAUUUAAUUGUAUUACAUUUAAUUUCAUAAAUUAAUUUCCUUUAAUUUUUGUAAUUAUAUUUUCUAGGUACGCCAAUCAGGGGAAUUGUAUAUGGAGGGCAGCUCAAAACCCUUUCAAUUUCACAGUUGUCGAGAAAUUUGUAAAGGGUGGGUGUUAUUUGAAGAUCCACCUCAACAUAGAGUAGGUCCUACGCUGGUGUUUGAAACUGCAUCCUUAGCUGAAGAUAUGGAUGAAGAAAGAUCUCCUACCAUUCAACAAAUAAGGGUAGAAAAUUCGUCUUUGGGUGAAGGUUCCAUACCUAGGGCUAUGGGACGAAACAAGGCCCGAAGGUUGAAGGAAAAGGGCAAGGCAACAGAUGAUUACGCCGCUCAACAGGAAGUGGCGGCCUCAUUAUGAUUAAUGGCGGAGCAAAAUGCCUUUGCCGCAAAAGAAAGGAACCGUAGGCAUGAAGAACGGGCCAAACAAAUACAAGAAGAGAUGGAUGAUAAGAAUAUGAAAAUGAACACUUCGAAUUACAGUCCAAUGAGUAAGGCCUAUUUUGAUAGAAAAAAAUAAAAAUUAUGACCCGGCGGCAGUUGUUUACCUCUUACUAUACUCCUACAAUGGCAAAUGAUGAAGAUAAUGAUGAUUUUAGAGAUUAAAUUUAAAUUGUUGUAGUUUUUAAAUUUAAGUUGUUGUAGUUUUUUUAAUUUAAAUAAUAAAUUAUGUUUGACCCUAUGACCCUUUGGCCCUCGGUUGGAGACGGUUUUUUGUGACAAGGCUAAAACGAGCCCUAUGGCCAUUUGGCCCUCGGUUGGAGAUGGUAAAAAAUAUGGCCAUGCACUGUUCAUUAAAAUAUUAAUUGUUUGGAGGGCCAAAGGGCUAAAAUGAGCUCUCUGACCAGCUUUCGGUUGGAGAUGGGUUUACAAUUUUGAAAGGACAGCUGCCUUCAGCCCAACUGCCUCCCAUUUUGUGAGCUAGGUGAAGGGCAACUCGACCCAAUUACUAUUGCAAUUGGAUGACUAGUGGAGAUGUGUUAAAGGGAAGGCUGGGCAGUUCAUUUUUAGUUGCCUAGAUGUUGUUAAGAAAAGUGAAUCACCGCGGAGAGUUAGCGUUGUGAAUUUAAUGAAUGUAGUGGUUGUGAAGCAUGUGCUCGUAUAUGUUCUAUGCAUCCGCUACAUAAUUAGUUAGAAAUUGGGAACAAAUAUUCUCCAAGCAAACGAUUGCCGGCAACUUUCGAGGAAAUUUUGGCUUUGUAGGAACUCUAAACUUUUGUGAAAGUUACAACUGAUGUUGAGGACAUCAUCUACAAAAAACAUGAUGGAUAAAACCAUGGCCCUCAUUUGGUAUAAAGGAUUGAAUUUGAACAGAUAAGACCUAAUUUUUAAGGUACGUGUAAGGAAGAAAUGACAAAAUUGCGACCAACUUGAAGAUAGAAGAUUUUUUUUUCUUUUUUUCUUUUUAAAUAUUAUUAUUAAAGAAAGAGGGAGAGUUCGAACCAUUACACUAAUUUAGGGGAGGGGGUUUCGAACACAGGAUGCAUGGAUGGAAGCCCAACACCAUAUCCACUAGGAUAUUGGACUACAUGCAACUUGGAGGUAGGAGAAUGAUGUUUCAAGAAAACUUAUUCUAGUUGUCCCUGUAGGGAUUAGAAGGGAGAUCUUUCCUCGUCUACAAUUUCCCUCAAAUAAAAAAUCAUUCUCUUAUUGACACACCCCGAUCCUAGAAUCAAGGCGUGCACGCCCUGAUUUUAGGGUCGGAUGUGUGUCACUUAUGCAUUCAAUUUACCGUCAACGUUGAAAAUCUUCCAUUCUAAUCCAAUCGAAGGCUUUGAGGUUUUAGGUCGGACUAACAAAAAUUGCCUGCGCGAUGCUGCGGGUUUCAAAUGCAACCAAUUCUUGCAAUCAGUAAAUAUGGUUGAGAAGUUGUCAAUAGUCAAAAAACAUGUUAGCCAGGAUAGUCAAAUUUUAUCAAUUUACUCCAAAUGACAUCAACUUCUCCAAAAGGUUUCCCUCUAGACUCUUACAAAUCACUCAAUAGAUUUGUUAAUUGGCCCUAAACUCUUAGUAACAAAAUUAGCCAACUCUAAUUAACAAUUCAUAAUCAAACUGCAAAAACAACAUAGUGAGUUUCAACUGUGUACAAACAUAAGAAUCAACAUAUUCAAAGGUCUUGAUCUGCAUUAUUACCCAAAAGGCAUUCAUUACAUUUUAAUAAAAAUUUCCCCAAUGAACUACAAUUCACAUACAAUUUGAAAGAUCUAAUUCAAACAUUAAAGUACUCAAGCAAUUCAGAUAAUGCUUGAAAGAUGAAAUUCAAACAAAUAAAAUCACUCUGCAACUGAUUCACAUGUGUUGCAGGUGGACCUUACCAACCAAAACUUUACCGCAGCCAAACGCUGGGUCCUUUCCAUGAGUUAAGUGGAUUUUAUGUAGUUGCAUUCGCAUUGAAAUAAGGAAAAUAAAUCAGUAAUCUUAAUUUCUUAAGAACAUAAAAAUAUUUCCCAACUUGCUUGUCUCCUUGCAUAAAAAAUUAUAAGCACAGAGGGGAAUGGAUAUUUCCCAACAAAUAAUGCAAAAACCAAUAAUAAAGAUUUUUAAAUAAAUUUUGUGAUUAAUGUGUACAUGAUAUAGCAAUUGCAUCAGAAAAUCAAACCUUGAAGAGCAUUAAGGAAUUGAUAUACAAGAGAGGCUGCGGUAAGCUGAACAAGCAGAGGAUUGCCUUGACAGAACGCCAUUGUUGAGGAGGUUCGUACCUCGCUGCUAAUGCUGUAUCUAAUUGGUUUCAUUAAUUCUGCACAGAAGGAGAAAAUUUUUAUUGUGAUGUGUUACACCACGUAUUUUUAUGUAAAUGGUGGGAAAUUUUAUUUUGUUAGUUAUUAACUUUUUAACACAUAUAUUCCAUCAUUUGUAUAAUAACAUGUGAUGUACCACCUCGUGUGCCGAUCACACUGAAAAAUCUUUUGCACGGAAGAUCUUAUUCACAAGAUCUUGACAAUUGGUCCUCAUUUCAAGGAGGCCAGUAACUUUAUGUGGCCAUUCAAGCUUAAGGCACCGCUGUUCGGUCUUAAGAAGAAGAGGAACCACUACGUCGAAGGUGGAGAUGCCGGAAACCGUGGGAACUACAUCAACGAGUUUUUUCUGUCACUAGAGGGGAUCUGAUACUUGCUCUCUGUUUAAGUUGAACACAGUUUUCGCUUUAAGGUUCAUGACUUGUCUUGAAGACUUAAAUGCUAGAAAGUUUUGUUACCUUAUAUAAAUGUUUUGCAUUCGAUGCUGCCUGCUUGUUUACUUUUGCCAAGGUUCUAAAUUUGGCUAGAGUUUCAUAUGUUUUGUUGCCCUCCUUUUUCUUUUCCUUUCGUGAAUAACCGUGGAGAGUUAUCGUUGUGAAGUUGAUGAAUGUAGUGUUUGUGAAGCAUGUGCUCGUAUAUGUUCCAUUCGUCUACUGCUUAAUUGGUUAGAAAUUGGGAACAAAUAUUCUCCAAGGAAACGUUUGCCCUUUGGCUUUGAAGGAACUCUAA
rnacentral:lncRNA from 1 species